GCCUGGGUGGCUCAGUUGGUUGAGCGUCCGACUUCAGCUCAGGUCACGGUCUCACGAUUCGUGAGUUCGAGCCCCACAUCGGGCU
rnacentral:tRNA from 1 species